UGGCUGAUUUACUUGAGCCAUAGAAGUAACUGUAACUGUCGCCAAUCAGCGUACUGAACAACAGGUUCGGAUCAGGGCGUCCACCA
rfam:Klebsiella pneumoniae subsp. pneumoniae DSM 30104 plasmid pKPt4 Contig00026, whole genome shotgun sequence.